rnacentral:rRNA from 1 species
AUCCUGGGGCUGAAGAAGGUCCCAAGGGUUCGGCUGUUCGCCGAUUAAAGAGUUACGCGAGCUGGGUUCAGAACGUCGUGAGACAGUUCGGUCCCUAUCCUUCGUGGGCGUAGGAAAUUUGAGGGGAACUGCAUUUAGUACGAGAGGACCGGUGCGGACGAACCUCUGGUGUAUCGGUUGUCACGCCAGUGGCAUUGCCGAGUAGCUAAGUUCGGACUGGAUAACCGCUGAAAGCAUCUAAGCGGGAAGCCAACCCCAAGAAAGAUUUCCCCAUCAGAUACGUUGGAGACUACAACGUUGAUAGGUCACAGGUGUAAUCACAGCAAUGUGUUAAGCCGAGUGAUACUAAUAAAUCGAAUGUUUUUUUCUUAUUUAUUUU